rnacentral:rRNA from 1 species
AGCGAACGCUGGCGGCAGGCCUAACACAUGCAAGUCGAACGGACCCUUCGGGGUUAGUGGCGGACGGGUGAGUAACACGUGGGAACGUGCCUUUAGGUCCGGAAUAGCUCCUGGAAACGGGUGGUAAUGCCGAAUGUGCCCUUAGGGGGAAAGAUUUAUCGCCUUUAGAGCGGCCCGCGUCUGAUUAGCUAGUUGGUGAGGUAAUGGCUCACCAAGGCUACGAUCAGUAGCUGGUCUGAGAGGAUGACCAGCCACAUUGGGACUGAGACACGGCCCAAACUCCUACGGGAGGCAGCAGUGGGGAAUCGUGCGCAAUGGGCGAAAGCCUGACGCAGCCAUGCCGCGUGGAUGAUGAAGGUCUUAGGGUUGUAAAAUCCUUUCACCGGUGAAGAUAAUGACUGUAGCCGGAGAAGAAGCCCCGGCUAACUUCGUGCCAGCCGCCGAGUAAAAC